AAUUUAAGGUAUCUGUUUCUGUUUUUGUGGUAAAAUGGAAUCGGUUAACUUAGAGUAG
rnacentral:pre_miRNA from 1 species